rnacentral:rRNA from 1 species
CCUACGGGUGGCAGCAGUGGGGAAUAUUGGACAAUGGGGGCAACCCUGAUCCAGCCAUGCCGCGUGUGUGAAGAAGGCCCUCGGGUUGUAAAGCACUUUCAGUGAGGAAGAACGCCUGGUGGUUAAUACCCAUCAGGAAAGACAUCACUCACAGAAGAAGCACCGGCUAACUCCGUGCCAGCAGCCGCGGUAAUACGGAGGGUGCGAGCGUUAAUCGGAAUUACUGGGCGUAAAGCGCGCGUAGGUGGCUUGAUAAGCCGGUUGUGAAAGCCCCGGGCUCAACCUGGGAACGGCAUCCGGAACUGUCAAGCUAGAGUGCAGGAGAGGAAGGUAGAAUUACCGGUGUAGCGGUGAAAUGCGUAGAGAUCGGGAGGAAUACCAGUGGCGAAGGCGGCCUUCUGGACUGACACUGACACUGAGGUGCGAAAGCGUGGGUAGCAAACAGGAUUAGAUACCCGAGUAGUC